rnacentral:sRNA from 1 species
UGUACACACCGCCCGUCACACCAUGGAAGUUAGCCACGCCCGAAGUCGUUACUCCAACCCUUGUGGAGGAGGACGCCGAAGGUGGGGCUGAUGACUGGGGUGAAGUCGUAACAAGGUAGCCGUACCGGAAGGUGCGGCUGGAUCACCUCCUAACAGGGAGACAAAUCAGAUGUUGAUGUCUGAGCCAAAUUGAGCUUAGGCCAAUAUCCUGCCAUCUCGAAGGUCGAUCGGUACCUCAAGGAUCAUGAUGAGUUGGGUGCUUGAACUGCAAAGUUCAAGGAUUCAAGCAAGCAAAGAUCUUUCAGUUUCUCAACUUCUGUCUAGGUCACCCCAAAGGUGCGCGAUGUGAGGUCGCCCAGCUGAGGAAGGACGCUCCUGGGCCAUUAGCUCAGGUGGUUAGAGCGCACCCCUGAUAAGGGUGAGGUCCCUGGUUCAAGUCCAGGAUGGCCCAUUCGUGUUUGGGGGUUUAGCUCAGUUGGUAGAGCGCCUGCUUUGCAAGCAGGAUGUCAGCGGUUCGAGUCCGCUAACCUCCAUCAACAAGAGAAAAGCAAGCCUCGAAACCACAGGAGAUUCAAUCCAUGGGGAGACAAGACAGAAAAAUCUUGAAUUUUACAAGGAGAGUCUAGCAUCCUUUCAUUCUCACAGUUGAAAAAAGUGAGUUGAAAUGACGCUGGGUUCACUCUUUAUGGUCCUUAAAUAUGAUCAUAAAGAGUUAUUCAGCAGAACCUUGACAACUGCAUAGGUGAGUCUGGAAAGAAAGCAUCUCAUGGAUGUCCAGGAGUGAAAGCACCUGGAAGAUUCUUGAGUUUAAGAGCCGAGCUUUCAAAGCCAAAAUGAUCGAAAGAUUGUUUUGAUGUUUUGAAACGUAAUGGUCAAGCUACAAAGGGCUCACGGUGGAUACCUAGGCACACAGAGA